GUGCCAGCCGCCGCGGUAAGACGAGGGAUCCUAGCGUUGUUCGGAAUUAUUGGGCGUAAAGCGGGUGUAGGUGGCUUUGUAAGUCAGGUGUGAAAGCCUAGGGCUCAACCCUAGAAGUGCAUUUGAUACUGCGAAGCUUGAGUGUUGGAGAGGAUAGUAGAAUUGUUGGUGUAGUGGUGAAAUACGUAGAUAUCAACAGGAAUACCGGAGGCGAAGGCGGCUAUCUGGCCAAACACUGACACUGAGAUCCGAAAGCGUGGGGAUCAAACAGGAUUAGAUACCCUGGUAGUCCACGCUGUAAACGAUGGAUACUUGUUGUUGGAGGUAUUGACCCCUUCAGUGACGAAGCUAACGCGUUAAGUAUCCCGCCUGGGGAGUACGGUCGCAAGAUUAAAACUCAAAUGAAUUGGCGG
rnacentral:rRNA from 1 species